rnacentral:rRNA from 1 species
GACGAACGCUGGCGGCGUGCUUAACACAUGCAAGUCGAACGGAAAGGCCCUGCUUUUGUGGGGUGCUCGAGUGGCGAACGGGUGAGUAACAAGUGAGUAACCUGCCCUUGACUUUGGGAUAACUUCAGGAAACUGGGGCUAAUACCGGAUAGGAGCUCCUGCUGCAUGGUGGGGGUUGGAAAGUUUCGGCGGUUGGGGAUGGACUCGCGGCUUAUCAGCUUGUUGGUGGGGUAGUGGCUUACCAAGGCUUUGACGGGUAGCCGGCCUGAGAGGGUGACCGGCCACAUUGGGACUGAGAUACGGCCCAGACUCCUACGGGAGGCAGCAGUGGGGAGUAUUGCACAAUGGGCGGAAGCCUGAUGCAGCAACGCCGCGUGCGGGAUGACGGCCUUCGGGUUGUAAACCGCUUUCGCCUGUGACGAAGCGUGAGUGACGGUAAUGGGUAAAGAAGCACCGGCUAACUACGUG